AUGCAAGUCGAGGGGCAGCAUUUUAGUUUGCUUGCAAACUGAAGAUGGCGACCGGCGCACGGGUGAGUAACACGUAUCCAACCUGCCGAUAACUCCGGAAUAGCCUUUCGAAAGAAAGAUUAAUACCGGAUAGUAUACGAAUAUCGCAUGAUUAAAGGUAUUCCGGUAGACGAUGGGGAUGCGUUCCAUUAGAUAGUAGGCGGGGUAACGGCCCACCUAGUCUUCGAUGGAUAGGGGUUCUGAGAGGAAGGUCCCCACAUUGGAACUGAGACACGGUCCAAACUCC
rnacentral:rRNA from 1 species